rnacentral:tRNA from 1 species
GGAGCCGAGCAGAACGAUUCAGCAGACUACGCCCGUAGAAGGCUCCGGCUCACAGCGAUGGACGGGGGUUCAAUUCCCCCCAUCUCCACCA